rnacentral:rRNA from 1 species
GUAGUCCUGGCUGUAAACGAUGUCGACUUGGAGGUUGUUCCCUUGAGGAGUGGCUUCCGGAGCUAACGCGUUAAGUCGACCGCCUGGGGAGUACGGCCGCAAGGUUAAAACUCAAAUGAAUUGACGGGGGCCCGCACAAGCGGUGGAGCAUGUGGUUUAAUUCGAUGCAACGCGAAGAACCUUACCUACUCUUGACAUCCAGAGAAUUUAGCAGAGAUGCUUUAGUGCCUUCGGGAACUCUGAGACAGGUGCUGCAUGGCUGUCGUCAGCUCGUGUUGUGAAAUGUUGGGUUAAGUCCCGCAACGAGCGCAACCCUUAUCCUUUGUUGCCAGCGGUUCGGCCGGGAACUCAAAGGAGACUGCCAGUGAUAAACUGGAGGAAGGUGGGGAUGACGUCAAGUCAUCAUGGCCCUUACGAGUAGGGCUACACACGUGCUACAAUGGCAUAUACAAAGAGAAGCGACCUCGCGAGAGCAAGCGGACCUCACAAAGUAUGUCGUAGUCCGGAUCGGAGUCUGCAACUCGACUCCGUGAAGUCGGAAUCGCUAGUAAUCGUAGAUCAGAAUGCUACGGUGAAUACGUUCCCGGGCCUUGUACACACCGCCCGUCACACCAUGGGAGUGGGUUGCAAAAGAAGUAGGUAGCUUAACCUUCGGGAGGGCGCUUACCACUUUGUGAUUCAUGACUGGGGUGAAGUCGUAACAAGGUAACCGUAGGGGAACCUGCGGCUGGAUCACCUCC